rnacentral:rRNA from 1 species
UACAGAGGGUGCAAGCGUUGUCCGGAAUCACUGGGCGUAAAGGGCGCGUAGGCGGCCCGAUAAGUCGGGGGUGAAAUCUUGCGGCUCAACCUGGGAACUGCAUCCGAAACUGCCUUGCUAGAGUAUGGGAGAGGGAAGUGGAAUUUCCGGUGUAGCGGUGAAAUGCGUAGAUAUCGGAAGGAACAUCAGUGGCGAAGGCGGGUCUCUGGGCAGUAACUGACGCUGAGGAGCGAAAGCGUGGGGAGCGAACAGG